UUAUUUUAAUUUAAAUUAUUUAUUAAGGUAGUAUUAGUUAAGUUCUUGAAACCUAAAAAAUUUGGCGGUAUUUUAGUCUAUUCAGAGGAACCUGUUCUGUAAUCGAUAUUCCACGAUGGACCUUACUUAAAUUUGUAUGCAAUUUAUAUACCGUUGUUAUUUAAAUAUUUUAUAAGAAUUAUAAUUUUUAAAAGUUUUUAUUAAAAAAUAUAUCAAAUCAAGGUGUAGUUUAUGUUUAAGUAGAAAUGGGUUACAAUAAAAUUAUUUAUAUGAAUAUAAGUUUGAAAUAUUUAUUGAAGGUGGAUUUGAUAGUAAAUUUAUAUAGAUUAAUAAUUUGAUUUUGGCUCUAAAAUAUGUACACAUCGCCCGUCACUCUUAUUAUUAAGAUAAGAUAAGUCGUAACAUAGUAGAUGUACCGGAAGGUGUAUCUAGAAUG
rnacentral:rRNA from 1 species